rnacentral:rRNA from 1 species
AUCAAAUUGAGAGUUUGAUCCUGGCUCAGGACGAACGCUGGCGGCAUGCCUAAUACAUGCAAGUCGAACGAUGAUGCACUCUGCUUGCAGAGUGUUGAAGAGUGGCGAACGGGU